GAUCAGGUGGCCGAGUUUUAAGGCGAUGGACUGCUAAUCCCUUGGGGUUUCCUAGCGAGAGUUCGAAUCUCAUCCUGAUCG
rnacentral:tRNA from 1 species